rnacentral:rRNA from 1 species
CCUACGGGAGGCAGCAGUGGGGAAUAUUGCUCAAUGGGGGAAACCCUGAAGCAGCAACGCCGCGUGGAGGAUGAAGGUUUUAGGAUUGUAAACUCCUUUUGUUAGAGAAGAUUAUGACGGUAUCUAACGAAUAAGCACCGGCUAACUCCAUGCCAGCAGCCGCGGUAAUACGGAGGGUGCAAGCGUUACUCGGAAUCACUGGGCGUAAAGAGUGUGUAGGCGGGGUAAUAAGGCAGAUGUGAAAUCCUGUAGCUUAACUGCAGAAGUGCAAUUGAAACUGUUACUCUGGAGUGUGGGAGAGGUAGGUGGAAUGCGUGGUGUAGCGGUAAAAU